rnacentral:rRNA from 1 species
GUCCUUAGUUACCAGCACGUUAUGUGGGCGACUCUAAGGAGGACUGCCGGUGGACAAACCGGAGGAAGGUGGGGAGUGACGUCAAGUCAUCAUGGCCCUUACGGCCUGGGCUACACACGUGCUACAAUGGUCGGUACAAAGGGUUGCCAAGCCGCGAGGUGGAGCUAAUCCCAUAAAACCGAUCGUAGUCCGGAUCGCAGUCUGCAACUCGACUGCGUGAAGUCGGAAUCGCUAGUAAUCGUGAAUCAGAAUGUCACGGUGAAUACGUUCCCGGGCCUU